UACAGAGGUCCCAAGCGUUGUUCGGAUUCACUGGGCGUAAAGGGCGCGUAGGCGGCUUUAUAAGUCGGGGGUGAAAGCCUGUGGCUCAACCACAGAAUUGCCUUCGAUACUGUAGAGCUUGAGACCGGAAGAGGUAAGUGGAACUGCGGAGUGUAGAGGUGAAAUUCGUAGAUAUUCGCAAGAACACCAGUGGCGAAGGCGGCUUACUGGUCCGGUACUGACGCUGAGGUGCGAAAGCGUGGGGAGCAAACAGGG
rnacentral:rRNA from 1 species